AUCUCUGGCCAGAUACUCAUGAACAUCUUUCUCUCCUCUGCAUUCAUCCCUGUUCACAAGGUAUCAUCAUCUCCAUUGAGCACUCCCAAAGGAAAUAAUGGUGCCUACCAGGCAUCACUGUUUUGUAUGCUCAGUAUUUCCAAUUACAUUGGCGGUCUUGGAGGUGUAUUGGGGGAACAUUAAACAACACAGCUUGAAAUAUAAGAAGAAAAAUAUGUGCAGGUCCCUACAAACAAAUUAUCCAGCUAAACUUCAGGAGAACUGGAACAGUACGCCUAUCAAUCCUGAGUCUACAGAACUGGCAGCUGUCAUGCCCAGCAUAAGAAUCAUUGUUCAAGGGGCGCCUGGGUGGCACAGCAGUUAAGCGUCUGCCUAUGGCUCAGGGCGUGAUCUCAGCGUUAUGGGAUCGAGCCCCACA